rnacentral:rRNA from 1 species
AGAGUUUGAUCCUGGCUCAGGAUGAACGCUAGCUACAGCUUAACACAUGCAAGUCGCGGGGCAGCAUGGGGUUGCUUGCAAUCCCUGAUGGCGACCGGCGCACGGGUGAGUAACGCGUAUCCAACCUGCCCUUCACCACGGGAUAACCCGGCGAAAGUCGGACUAAUACCGUAUGUUGUCCAUUGACGGCAUCCGAUUUGGACGAAAGGCUUAGCGGUGAGGGAUGGGGAUGCGUCCGAUUAGCUUGACGGCGGGGUAACGGCCCACCGUGGCAACGAUCGGUAGGGGUUCUGAGAGGAAGGUCCCCCACACUGGAACUGAGACACGGUCCAGACCCCUACGGGAGGCAGCAGUGAGGAAUAUUGGUCAAUGGGCGGAAGCCUGAACCAGCCAAGUAGCGUGCAGGAUGACGGCCCUAUGGGUUGUAAACUGCUUUUAUGCGGGGAUAAAGGGACUCACGUGUGGGUUUUUGCAGGUACCGCAUGAAUAAGGACCGGCUAAUUCCGUG